CCCUCUCGGCGGCCCUGCUUUUGUCUAAACUGCAUGAUGACAAGGUGGUUUAGUGGCUGUCCCCUGCAAUAUACGCAGUUGUAAGAAUGUUUGCAGUUUGGCUCGGCAACGACGUGUACCCCCUUGUAGAAACAAUUAGGAAUUUAUUGGCUCUUGGGAAAACCCGCGCCGGUUUCUUACAAACAGACCAUCGGGCUGGCGGCUUCCAGGACGCCGCCGACAGACGGCGAUAACAUCAGAAACGUUUCAUUUCUCUGCAAUAUAUUUCUUUUGAACGCUAAUCAUCGGCGCCAUGACAAUAUAUGUACACUUUAUUUUUUACAGAAAUUUCAAGGAUUUUCUAUUUCUUAUUAAGGACUUCCUGCGUUUAACUAAUAUUAAUACCAACAAGGGUUAGAGUUCCGAACAAUAAAACCUCAUCAUGAAACAGAACAUUUCCUCAAAUUGGCCAAAAGAGUUACACAUUUUCUCUUGUAUACAUAAAGUAACUAAAUA